UAAAAACUUGAAUAAAUUCCCUACAAGACCCUUUCAUCAUGAUUUAUGAAAAAAAUUUUUUUUUAUCCUUUGAACAUCCAUAUGAAGGUGGUGAUAGAACAUGGGAAUGUAGUUCAAUGACAGCGUAGCCUUAACCCAUAAGAGUCGGAGGCUUUUAUUAUGAAUGAGAAAGUUGAACUCGCGGAACGAUGAACCUUGCUUGCGUACCGCAUAUAAUACAUAUAUGUUUAUACAGGUGUAUGUACAUACUAUACAUAUCAUCGUCAUCUUCACCUUCAUAACACGAAGACGUAAAUCACGCGAUGACGACUCUGCGGAUGUAAGUCAAUAGACAUCUUUUUGGUUUCUUCAUCUGUCAAGACAAAGUACCGAACUUAUCAGUAACGAUAGAAAAAAUUUUGCGGUAAAAAUGAUAAUUCAUUUAAAUUUAUAAGAAAUUUCAAGUGUUUACAAUUCAAAUUUAAAAUUUAUUUUUACUGUAAUUUGAGACUUCAGAAAUUAAACUAAAAUUAAAUAUCAAAAUCUCACUCUAAUGAUAAUUAUAAAAUAGUGUGAUAAUGUUAUAAAUAAAAUAUAAUAACUUUGUUUAUUUAAUUUUAUAUAGUUUCAUCGUCAGUAUUCGAGAACGUGAUUGAACGAAAGUAUCACGACACUUUCAUCAGUGAUGACAACUGGAAAAGUUUUCUAAACGCAAUUAGGACAAACAAAUGACGUGACAUUACCGUUAACUAGUGAACCAACAUUGAUACCGAAGCAGUAUGUUCACAUGACUUUUGUAUUACGUCUCAAGUCUCAAGACUUGACCGGUGGCCUAAUCACAAGGAUAUAAGAAUACAAGUUACAAGUCGUGUACAUGUAAACAAAGUAAAUGGAAAGUCA